UAUUCCCUCCUAUACACUGCCUCCUGAAUGCAGUAACAAAAUAUUUGUAGAGGCUCAGAAAAAGAUUCAAACUACUGUCUGGUGCAACUUCUUUAUAUCGCCUGCUACAUCCACCCUUCUUAAGUCCUGAUCUUUGCUGGAGCUGGUCCCCAAUACAAGUGGUGCCCGAACAGGAGACUUGAAGUAGGAAUGCAGAAUCGCCCAUUGGGAUCCCAGAUCGCCUCAUCAGGCCAUGUGGACCGGUCCCCGAGACGGUCAUGUCAUGUCCUGCACCCAUAUUGGAAAAACGAAACGACAAGAGAAUAUGAGCGAUUCUCCCACUCAGAAUCGACUUCCAUUCCGCCACCAUCAAAAAUGCCCGAUUCUACAGAUAUGGUUGAGAAUAUUUUGCCUGUUUUUGCUCAGCUUCGUCUUCACUCAAAGCGACGUGAGCAAGGCCGCUUUGCAAGAUCUACUCGUCAAGAGUUUUUGCCAACAUGGGGUCAGAUAAAACAGCUUAGUUGUUUGGCUGAACAAAUUCUUGAAGAAAAUAAAUUCCAAAAAAAUCCAGCUAAUCUUUUCCUGGCUAUGAUCUCUUUGCUUACUAUACGGUCAUCUAAUGACAACUAGCAAGAGGCAUCAGAACACUGUCAAUGGAAUUUCAAAUGGAUCGACU